GACGGAUCUUCAGUGAUCAGCUGUGAGUGUAUGAAGUAAAACUCUUCAGAAUGGGGGCCGACGUCUCCAGCAGUGCAGAACGACCCUCUGACCCAGAGAGGAAGAGAGCAGCAUCUCCAGCCCCCAGUGGAGUGUCUAUGAAGAGUGACCGGUCCAUAGGGAAUCCUCCUAAUCUCAGCAGUGGAGGAAGAAGCUCUGGGUCUCUGUACAUCACUGCACUAAACUACUGUUCUGUUCUGAGAGUGAAGCUCUUCAGUUCCUGAUCUUUAUUAAAGAUGUGCUGUGUGUUGGAGUUUCACUGUGUUUAAUGUUAACAGAACUGAAACCCAGAGAGG